rnacentral:antisense_RNA from 1 species
UGUGGGAGCUGGCUUGCCUGCGAUGCGGGCGCCUCAGUGUUCCAGGCAAACCGCGGUGAUGCUAUCGCAGGCAAGCCAGCUCCCACA